rnacentral:miRNA from 1 species
UAAAUGGUGAGACCGAUGUGUAGUAAGUAGUGGGAAGCUAGGAUGCCCUAUUGCUGUUAAUGCUUUACAUUUCUGUCUUCCUUUUAUUGUUUGUGAUAUUG